UUUUAGUACUUGAUCAUAGUAAGAAAAUUCUCAAGAGAGAAAUCGACGAGAGAUUUACAUGAAAAGGAAUUCAACCAAAAGGCUAGAAAAUUCGUACCCAACCUCUAGUUACAUCUGGAAUGAUUGAAGGUGGUGAAUUGUAUACUCUUAUCUACUGAUUUCAUGGAGACUUGGAAGUAAUUAAAGCGGGGUUUUUCUUUGUUCUUGAUUGAUGAUUAAAGUGACAGGUUGCUUUGAUGUAAGUGGUGUUGACGCGGCUGAGGAAGAAAUAGACAUUUGGGUCGAUUAAGUGGUCUUAACUUAUGUUCGUGUGAGGUCGUUGUUGGUCUCACUAGUGUUGUACAAUUCAUGUAUCUUUAUGAAGAUGUUUUCUUUGAGUUUCUUGUUUGUAAGUAAACCCUAUUUUGCUGAAUGUAUGUAUAGUGUGUAUAUAUCACCAAACAAAACACAUGUAAAUUAGAUGGUUAUGUAUAUUAUGAUAAUCCUAGUUUAUGUCUUGGUUCGCCUCGGAUUUGUUUA